CUCCAGAUAUUUUCCCACGCUUGUCAAAUUGGAUCUCAACAAAUUUUCCAAACCGACUGUUGAAGAACGCCAGAGAAUUACAAACAGCCAAAACAAAAGAUACCAGGAGAAAAGAAUGAAAAUUAUGUCCAAACUCCACUCUCUCCACUAACCAAAAUGGACUGGCUUCUUGCCUCAUUUAUCAUCGCCCUGCAAACAGAUGCGGGCUUAGCUCUCCAAAGGCAGCUCCUUUAUAUUGCUCCAUCAUAUGAACGCUAUACAAAUGCGGAAGUCUUUGGAAAGGAUUCACCGCAAUCAAGAUGUUUCCGGU